rnacentral:rRNA from 1 species
CCUACGGGAGGCAGCAGUGAGGAAUAUUGGUCAAUGGACGAGAGUCUGAACCAGCCAAGUAGCGUGAAGGAUGACUGUCCUAUGGGUUGUAAACUUCUUUUAUAUGGGAAUAAAAUGUUCCACGUGUGGGAUUUUGUAUGUACCAUAUGAAUAAGGAUCGGCUAACUCCGUGCCAGCAGCCGCGGUAAUACGGAGGAUCCGAGCGUUAUCCGGAUUUAUUGGGUUUAAAGGGAGCGUAGGUGGAUUGUUAAGUCAGUUGUGAAAGUUUGGGGCUCAACCGUGAAAUUGCAGUUGAAACUGGCAGUCUUGAGUACAGUAGAGGUAGGCGGAAUUCGUGGUGUAGCGGUGAAAUGCUUAGAUAUCGCGAAGAACUCCGAUUGCGAAGGCAGCACGCUGGACUGCAACUGACACUGAGGCUCGAAAGUGUGGGUAUCGAACAGGAUUAGAUACCCUAGUAGUC